rnacentral:lncRNA from 1 species
CCUCUCCGACACUCUUUGAUUUAAGCAUCAAAGGGUCCCCCCAUCGAAAAAAUUCCCAUCUCUUUCUUCGGCGAGCACAAACUUUCUUGCAGGUGAUCAGAAUUUUGAUUGGUGCCUACCUACUCCAACAAGAUGAUCAAUCCAAGCUGUCCCGCCCGUCACACCUCAUCGGAGAGGCAUGGCAACAGAUUAUAUUUUCUCAAUAUAUUUUGUUUAUGAUCGGAAUCAAAAUUGGAAUCAGGAUGCGAUUUGAAUACUAAGAGAGAGUAGGAAUUAUAUUUUGGAGAAUUGGAGCAUUCUUGUUCUCGAGUAGGGAUGAG